AAGUCGUAACAAGGUAACCGUAGGUGAACCUGCGGUUGGAUCAUUAAAACAUGCAUUUUAUUGCAGUCUUGAACCGAAAAAAAGGUGCUCGGCUUUUCGAAGUCGUGGUCCUUUGAAGUAGGGGAAAAGAUCCCACACCACUGUGAACCACUGAAAUGUCCCUUGGCGGAUUUAGCGAAGGCACCUGUUGACAAAGCGGGUCUGGAGCUUGCCGCCAGAAACUUGAACACACCCUGCAGUAUUUAAUCAAAAAUGUUAAAAAAAUCCCGGUUGCGCUUAACGGCCAAUCGUUGAAAAAUAAUAAACAAAAACAACUUCAGACAACGGAUCUCUUGGCUCUC
rnacentral:misc_RNA from 1 species